rnacentral:rRNA from 1 species
GGCUCAUUAAUCAGUUAUCGUUUAUUUGAUAGUACCUUGCUACUUGGAUACCUGUGGUAAUUCUAGAGCUAAUACAUGCUAAAAACCUCGACUUCGGGAGGGGUGUAUUUAUUAGAUAAAAAACCAAUGCCCUCCGGGGCUCCUUGGUGAUUCAUAAUAACUCAACGAAUCGCAUGGCCUUGCGCCGGCGAUGGUUCAUUCAAAUUUCUGCCCUAUCAACUUUCGAUGGUAGGAUAGUGGCCUACCAUGGUUUCUACGGGUAACGGGGAAUUAGGGUUCGAUUCCGGAGAGGGAGCCUGAGAAACGGCUACCACAUCCAAGGAAGGCAGCAGGCGCGCAAAUUACCCAAUCCCGACACGGGGAGGUAGUGACAAUAAAUACUGAUACAGGGCUCUUUCGGGUCUUGUAAUUGGAAUGAGUACAAUUUAAAUCCCUUAACGAGGAACAAUUGGAGGGCAAGUCUGGUGCCAGCAGCCGCGGUAAUACCAGCUCCAAUAGCGUAUAUUAAAGUUGUUGCAGUUAAAAAGCUCGUAGUUGAAACUUGGGCCUGGCUGACCGGUCCGCCUCACCGCGUGCACUGGUCCGGCCGGGCCUUUCCUUCUGGGGAGGCCGCAUGCCCUUUAUUGGGUCGUGUCGGCGGAUCCAGGACUUUUACUUUGAAAAAAUUAGAGUGUUCAAAGCAGGCCUAUGCUCGGAUACAUUAGCAUGAAAUAAUGGAAAUAGGACGUGUGGUUCUAUUUUGUUGGUUUCUAGGACCGCCGUAAU